GCGUGAAGCCAGGGAUGGAGAAAUGUCUUUUUGAACUCAACUGGUUUCCUUCUCUUGAGACAAAGUAACACAGAUACUAUUUUUCGGAAAGCAGUGGAGAAUGAGGUUUGCCUCUUGCAAAUUACUAAUUGUGGUUUUCUUGCUCUGACUUAAAAUGUCCUUCCGCUACAGCAGAUGUCAGGAGGCAGGGGGGAAACGUGAGCAUGGGCAAUCCCGGAUCUCUUAUUAGAGGCAUAGGUUUUGUUUCUUCUGAGGCUCCUUUUUGUUUUCUGUGUGCUGGAAAUCAAAGGCUUUCUCUGAGGGGUCUGUUCUGAAGACUAAAGAUAGUGUGCAGAAAAGCCACACCAGCCUGUAACAUGGGAUGCUCCAGGAGGUGACUUGGUCCUUGGAGAAAGGAUCUGACAAGAGGCUACGAGGCUUAUCACUCAGCAUGCAAAGAACCCAACAAGAGCUGGACUAAUCCAUGAGAUGAGUCACAUGUUGGCCCGUUGGACAAGCCUGAGCUCACCGGCCUUCUAAUGCAUGCCAAGGUCGCUGGCAAGCCAACCAACAACCAGAGGGAAGGUCAUGUACAAGAUCAUGAAUACAAAGGACAAACGUCCUGACAUCUCCCUUAUUCUUCCCGUAGAGUUUCCCCAGGUUCUGAGUUCACAAAGCCCAUGAGGAGAGAGGAGUCUGCCGUAAGGAGAGCCCAGGACCGCUGGGCCAAGGAGGAGCAGUUCGCCUCAGAUGUAUUGCUGCAUCUGCAGAAAGAACUGUGUCACCCUCGAAAUUUAUGCUGAGGCCCUAAUCCCCAGUGGGACUAUAUUUGGAGAUGGGGCCUUUGGGGAGGGGAUUAAGGUCAUAAGGGUAGGGCCCUAAUCUGAUAGGACUGGUAUCCUCACAAGAAGAAGAAGAGGCACCAGAGAGAGUUCUCUGUCUCUGUCUAUCUUUCUGUUUGUGUGUACAGAGGAAAGGCCAUUGCAGGGCACAGGGAGGCAGUAGUUCUCUGCAAGUCUGGAAGAGAGGCCUCCUCAGUAACCAACCCCAAAGGCACCUUGAUCUUGGACUUCUAGCCUCCAAAACUGUGAAAAAAUAAAUGUCUACGUUUGAGGCUA